rnacentral:ribozyme from 2 species
ACCUCAACUAAGGCCAAGAGCAUAGUUCCACAGAGUCAAUGAGCCAUGUGUUUACCCAAGAUAAGAGCCUCCCUCGUCCAUGACCUGUGCUUAGAGAGAUCUGGACUUGGUGUCUGGGGACUCUACCAGAUACUAUUCA